rnacentral:rRNA from 1 species
UACGGGGGGGGCAAGCGUUGUUCGGAAUUACUGGGCGUAAAGGGCUCGUAGGUGGCCAACUAAGUCAGACGUGAAAUCCCUCAGCUUAACUGGGGAACUGCGUCUGAUACUGGAUGGCUUGAGUUUGGGAGAGGGACGCGGAAUUCCAGGUGUAGCGGUGAAAUGCGUAGAUAUCUGGAGGAACACCGGUGGCGAAGGCGGCAUCCUGGACCGGCAUUGACGCUGAGGCGCGAAAGCCAGGGGAGCAAACGGG